UGCUCCUAUGGGGCGCAGCAGUGGGGAAUAUUGCACAAUGGGGGAAACCCUGAUGCAGCGACGCCGCGUGAGUGAAGAAGUAUUUCGGUAUGUAAAGCUCUAUCAGCAGGGAAGAUAAUGACGGUACCUGACUAAGAAGCCCCGGCUAACUACGUGCCAGCAGCCGCGGUAAUACGUAGGGGGCAAGCGUUAUCCGGAUUUACUGGGUGUAAAGGGAGCGUAGACGGUAUGGCAAGUCUGAUGUGAAAACCCGGGGCUCAACCCCGGGACUGCAUUGGAAACUGCCGAACUAGAGUGUCGGAGAG
rnacentral:rRNA from 1 species